rnacentral:rRNA from 1 species
UACGUAGGGUGCAAGCGUUGCUCGGAUUUAUUGGGCGUAAAGAGUGUGUAGGUGGUUUGAAAGGUCUGCUGUGAAAGCUCGAGGCUCAACCUCGAGACGUCGGUUGAAACCAGCUGGCUAGAGUCCGGAAGAGGAGUGUGGAAUUCCCGGUGUAGCGGUGAAAUGCGCAGAUAUCGGGAAGAACACCCGUGGCGAAGGCGGCACUCUGGGACGGUACUGACGCUGAGACGCGAAAGCGUGGGGAGCGAACAGG